rnacentral:misc_RNA from 1 species
UCUGGGGAGUCGAUUUAAAUUACUCAGUUCGUUUGUUUCUGGUUUAGUUCAUCUGUUUAAGCAUCGUUAAUUAUUUGUAUGGUUUGAUGAUUGGAUUGCCAUUUUACAUUUGUACUUGGAGACGACACUAUGUGGACUUAUUUAUCUUCACUUCUUUCAUAUUGUCCUUUCCUAUUUUCUUUUUCAAAUUUCAAUGCAAUCAUGCUUUCCAUUUAAUUGGCACUAAAGACCAUCUGAAAAACUUAAUUUGAACGUGAUUAUAAUUUCUGCAAUACUAACUAUCAGAAUGUUUGAGAACGUAAGAAAUCAUCUCUUUAGUCUAUAAAGCCUGUGGUCUAUAAUUGAACAUGAGUGUGAUGCAGUGGAAGAAUAAUUGUUCUUGUUAUUGUAGUAGAAGAAAGAGACCAAAUUGCCAUAAUCCUUACAGAGAUAAGGAUGGCUGUAUGUUAUUAGAAAAUUCAACAAUUAAUGUAUUAUGAAUUAGUACGAUAAAUAUUCUUUAGCCAUUAUAAUCUAAUUAAUUAUAAUCUCUAAAGUGUGGCUACUAGUUGGAGUAUAGUGAUUUAAUUUGUUGUUCAAACUCACUAAAAUUCUUUGAAUUCAUUGAGAUUCUCAGAUGAAAAAAAACCAGAAAAAGGUUCACUGAAAUUCUUCCUUCCUUUCUUUUCCUUGAUUUUAUAGAACAAUCAAUAGAAGUGCAUUAAGGACCCCUUUCUUAGCAGUGUUAUUAGUGUUAUAUUAUUGGACACAGUUUGUGCUUAGAAUCUGAAUUGUUCAGAAAUACUUGGAAGAAAAUUAAAGCAUUAUUUAGCUUUCUGUUCCUUUGAAAAUCAUGCAGCAGUUCGCAUAUACUGUAUCACGCUUGAAGCUAGUUAAACAAAAGUAUUGUCAC